rnacentral:rRNA from 1 species
GACGGGGGGGGCAAGUGUUCUUCGGAAUGACUGGGCGUAAAGGGUGCGUAGGCGGGUCUUUAAGUCGGGGGGGAAAUCCUGGAGCUCAACUCCAGAACUGCCUUCGAUACUGGAAGACUUGAGUCCGGGAGAGGUGAGUGGAACUGCGAGUGUAGAGGUGAAAUUCGUAGAUAUUCGCAAGAACACCAGUGGCGAAGGCGGCUCACUGGCCCGGUACUGACGCUGAGGUGCGAAAGCGUGGGGAGCAAACAGG